rnacentral:ncRNA from 1 species
CUUAUCAAGAGUGGCUGAGGGAACGGCCCUGUGAUGCCACGGCAACCUGUCCGCGCCUCCUUAAAUGGACACGCCUUCAAGGUGCCAAUUCCGGCGGUGAUUAUCCGCAAAGAUGAG